rnacentral:tRNA from 1 species
UGCGAGUUGGAGGAGAGGCCGUCCUCGCUGGGCUCAUAUCCCAGAGAUCACCUGUUCGAAUCAGGUACUCGCUU